rnacentral:rRNA from 1 species
UACGAAGGGGGGCUAGCGUUGCUCGGAAUCACUGGGCGUAAAGCGCACGUAGGCGGCUUUCUAAGUCAGGGGUGAAAUCCUGGAGCUCAACUCCAGAACUGCCUUUGAUACUGGAGAGCUUGAGUCCGGAAGAGGUGAGUGGAACUCCGAGUGUAGAGGUGAAAUUCGUAGAUAUUCGGAGGAACACCAGUGGCGAAGGCGGCUCACUGGCUCGGUACUGACGCUGAGGUGCGAAAGCGUGGGGAGCAAACAGG